rnacentral:rRNA from 1 species
CCUACGGGGGGCAGCAGUGGGGAAUAUUGCGCAAUGGGCGAAAGCCUGACGCAGCGACGCCGCGUGAGGGAUGAAGGUCUUCGGAUCGUAAACCUCUGUCAGCAGGGAAGAACGGUCACUGUGCUAAUCAGCAGUGAAUUGACGGUACCUGCAAAGGAAGCACCGGCUAACUCCGUGCCAGCAGCCGCGGUAAUACGGAGGGUGCGAGCGUUAAUCGGAAUUACUGGGCGUAAAGCGCUCGUAGGCGGUAUGUCAAGUCAAGGGUGAAAUCCCCGCGCUCAACGUGGGAACUGCCUUUGAAACUGGCAAACUGGAGUGUGUGAGAGGAGAGUGGAAUUCCAGGUGUAGGAGUGAAAUCCGUAGAUAUCUGGAGGAACACCAGUGGCGAAGGCGGCUGUCUGGUCUGCAACUGACGCUGAGGCUCGAAAGCAUGGGUAGCGAACAGGAUUAGAUACCCCUGUAGUC